UGGGGCUAUGUAGAAUAAGUAGUUAUUUUUAAAAUAUAGAUACCUAGUAUAUAGUAUAAACAAGGAUAGAUAACUACUGAAAAGGUGGUUCAAUAAGUAGAAUAGAUGAAUAGUCAAGAAAAGUAGUUAUCAUCUGUAGUAUAAGAAUUGGUAUCUCGGGGUAGUAUAAGGAGGAUGAGAGAGGGGAAGAAAAUGCCAGACUAUGAUUGUCAUAAGCCGAGGGCAGACUGUGAGAGUUGUGAGCCGAGAGCCAGACUGUGAAAGUUGUGAGCCGGGGUAAGCUUGGUGCUACCUCUUUUCUUUUGUUUGUUAUUUUCUUUGAAUAAGAGGAUUGAAAGUUUUUGAAUAUUGUGAAGUGAAUUAUAGAAUGAAAAUGUGAUUGG
rnacentral:lncRNA from 1 species